GUUCGAGGCGCCCGCGCUAGGUUAGUGCGAGACCCCGCCGGCUUGCGGCGGGGGCUGAGCGCCGGCCAAGUCCAAGUGCGCAAGCCCAGAUCUUGGCGCGCCCCUGAGGAGUUUCUGUGGGAAGAUUUUCUGUUUUCCAGGUUUCCCAAGGGAAACGAAGAAAGGGAGGGGGAGAAUCAAUGACUGAACCUCUAAUAGAUGUUGGACGACGUUAAAAAAGAAAUGUAUCGGCCCUACCCUCGAGGAUUUGACAAAUUAGACUGACCAGAGUGAUAAGAGCCACCAGGAAUGCUGAACAAUCAUCUGAGGACAUCAUUGGGUAUCACUGGCAAAGAGAAGAGAUGAAGAAAAGAUAAGAAAAAUAAACGAAAGUGGAAGAGGGCAGAAAGAGAGAAACAAAAGUAAGGAGAGUUUUCAGGAGGAGAAAAUAAAGAGAAGACAGAGAAGGAAGUGUCUGAUCCACAUUUGUCGGGACGCCAAUUCACCUAAUCGUAUCUGCCAUAUAUUUUCCAUCUAAGUCACCUUGACAAGCUAUCAUUAACCUUGUAGCCCCUGUGUGUCUCAGAAUCCAGUCUUCUCCCCACCUACUGGCAUGUGUAUUUAUU